rnacentral:misc_RNA from 1 species
ACACGCCCGCCCGAUUCCCGGGGGCGGGGUCCUGCCGCUUCUCUAAGCACUCGUGCGCAAGGGGGCGGUUUGGGCCUUUCCCCUCGUCGCCCCGUCUUCGCCGGCGGCCCCCCAUCUUCCAUUCGCUGCCCCUCGUAGCAGGGGUUUGGUGGUGAGGCUGGGGUGGUGCAGCGCGGUCGAGGAGGGUGUGCGGCGGCCGAUUUCACCGCACCAUUGGAAUCGACAGACUGAGUCCCACGCACCGUGCGCCAAGUGGCUGCCCUGGGGGUGUGCAUGAGGGGGGAGGUUGGCAAGUGGCAGCGUCGUUUGAACGCGACGUUGCCCGCUUCCCCUCUCUGCAUGUCGCGGGGAAGCCCUUAGGCCGCGACCUGAACGGAAGAGAGUA